rnacentral:rRNA from 1 species
CUUAGUUUGUUUAACUAUGGCAACAGAAAGUUAAUCUAAGUUAAUUCGCAUAAAUUAAUUUUUGUGAUGGUCUAAAUAUUUUUUUUAGGGGCGGUUAUUAGCGGAUAGCGUUUUAUUUGGGUGUAAGCCCUUUAAGUAAUUUAGGUGAAUUGGGGAUAGGGCGCAGUGCCAGCAUCUGCGGUUA